rnacentral:rRNA from 1 species
GACGAACGCUGGCGGCGUGCUUAACACAUGCAAGUCGAACGGUGACGAGGAGCUUGCUCCUCUGAUCAGUGGCGAACGGGUGAGUAACACGUGAGCAACCUGCCCCAGACUCUGGGAUAACAGUUGGAGACAGCUGCUAAUACCGGAUACGAGACGGAGAGGCAUCUCUACCGUCUGGAAAGUUUUUCGGUCUGGGAUGGACUCGCGGCCUAUCAGCUAGUUGGUGAGGUAAUGGCUCACCAAGGCGACGACGGGUAGCCGGCCUGAGAGGGCGACCGGCCACACUGGGACUGAGACACGGCCCAGACUCCUACGGGAGGCAGCAGUGGGGAAUAUUGCACAAUGGGCGAAAGCCUGAUGCAGCGACGCCGCGUGAGGGAUGACGGCCUUCGGUUGUAACCUCUUCUAGCAGGAAGAAGACGAAAGUGACGGUACUGCAGAAGAAGACACCGGCUAACUACGUAGCCAGCACGCCGCGGUAACGGAGU